AUGUCAGACACAGGACAACACACACUUUCAGUUUCUUUCUCCUCUUCCUCUUGUAUUAGAGGGGGGAAGAGGAGAAAGGAUUUCUUCAAAAUUUACACUAACUGGUAUUUGAACCCUUAGCGAUCAUGUUGCAAUUCUAUUCCAAACGUUGAAAUAGAAGCCCGGAAAAUACGAAAUUCUUCUGAUCGCCAAGUGAUUAUGGGAACUAGUCAACAAGUAAUUAUAAGCUGUGUCUGUUUCCAUUUUCCCCCUAUGGAGUCUCGCUCCGAAUCCGUCCCUGAGUGACGGCAAACAGUUCCGAAUAUGGAAGACGCAAAGGAAAUGCAACAAGUCCAUAGAACUUCAGGGAAAAGGUUUUUCGUUAACCCAUUCAUGAAGUGACUCAUCAUUUGGCCACAUGAAUCCGUCCCUCAAGAUUUGCAUAUCACUAAUCGCCUUCCACUUGGAUAUAGAACCGGUCGACGCCGCAGAUUCCCAGGGAGGUUCUACACAAUUCUAAAUGCCUUCUGGAAACAGCUGAAUAUAUCAAAAACCUUCUAACAUUACUGAAUAGUAUUUGCCAAGCUGCGUAACCACCUGUACUGCUGC